UGGAUCGAUGAUGACCACUGGUGGCGUACGCGUCCCGGACGGUGACUAACUGUGGUAGUCUGAGGUCCGG
ensembl:snoRNA